CUCACUCUCGGUGGACACAUUUUUCCCGCCGGAUGAAUGAAGGUUGCUGAUGCCUCAGCUCCUUUGAAAUGCAUGAGCAGUAAAACGAGCUUUGUCAGCUUCGGUUUGAUAUGUUUCUGGACCGUUGCUGAUGUCGUCCCUGCUGCUGCUUGUCUCUCCACCAGAGACUGUCUGCAUUAUGCGGGCAACACAGUUUUCAA
rnacentral:misc_RNA from 1 species